CUCAGGACGAACGCUGGCGGCGUGCCUAACACAUGCAAGUCUUGGGAGAAAGAGGUAGCAAUAUCUUGAGUAAACCGGCGCAAGGGUGAGUAACACGUAGGUAAUCUGCCUAGAGGACGGGAAUAACUUCGAGAAAUCGAGGCUAAUGCCCGAUGAUAUUCCGAUGCAGCAUUGUAUUGGUAUCAAAAGCCGUAAGGCGCCUUUAGAUGAACCUGCGUCCCAUUAGGUAGUUGGUGAGGUAAUGGCCCACCAAGCCGACGAUGGGUAGCUGGUCUGAGAGGACGAUCAGCCACACUGGAACUGAGACACGGUCCAGACUCCUACGGGAGGCAGCAGUGAGGAAUAUUGCGCAAUGCCCGAAAGGGUGACGCAGCGACGCCGCGUGGAGGAUGAAGGCCCUAUGGGUCGUAAACUCCUUUUGUGAGGGAAUAAUUUCCUGCUACAGGCAGGAUUGAAUGUACCUCAGGAAAAAGCAUCGGCUAACUACGUGCCAGCAGCCGCGGUAAUACGUAGGAUGCUAGCGUUGUCCGGAUUUACUGGGUGUAAAGGGAGCGCAGGCGGGUUGGUAAGUCGGUGGUGAAAUUCUCGGGCUUAACCCGAGUACUGCCAUCGAUACUGCUAAUCUUGAGUGCAGAAGAGGUUGAUGGAAUUCUAGGUGUAGCGGUGAAAUGCGUAGAUAUCUAGAAGAACACCGAUGGCGAAGGCAGUCAACUGGUCUGCUACUGACGCUCAUGCUCGAAAGCGUGGGGAUCAAACAGGAUUAGAUACCCUGGUAGUCCACGCCCUAAACGAUGAAUACUCGAUGUCGGCCCGCAAGGGUCGGUGUCUAAGCUAACGCAUUAAGUAUUCCACCUGGGGA
rnacentral:rRNA from 1 species